GAUGAACGCUGGCGGCGUGCCUAAUACAUGCAAGUCGAGCGAACGGACGAGAAGCUUGCUUUUCUGAUGUUAGCGGCGGACGGGUGAGUAACACGUGGAUAACCUACCUAUAAGACUGGGAUAACUUCGGGAAACCGGAGCUAAUACCGGAUAAUAUUUUGAACCGCAUGGUUCAAAAGUGAAAGACGGUCUUGCUGUCACUUAUAGAUGGAUCCGCGCUGCAUUAGCUAGUUGGUAAGGUAACGGCUUACCAAGGCAACGAUGCAUAGCCGGCCUGAGAGGGUGAUCGGCCACACUGGAACUGAGACACGGUCCAGACUCCUACGGGAGGCAGCAGUAGGGAAUCUUCCGCAAUGGGCGAAAGCCUGACGGAGCAACGCCGCGUGAGUGAUGAAGGUCCUCGGAUCGUAAAACUCUGUUAUUAGGGAAGAACAUAUGUGUAAGUAACUGUGCACAUCUUGACGGUACCUAAUCAGAAAGCCACGGCUAACUACGUG
rnacentral:rRNA from 1 species